CUUGGUCAUUUAGAGGAAGUAAAAGUCGUAACAAGGUAACCGUAGGUGAACCUGCGGUUGGGUCAUUAAAAAAUGAUGGUUUUGUUAGCUUGAGCUGCUUUCGAGUGGCUCGCUUCAAAACUUAUUCACCCUUGUGCAUCGUAAUGUUUUUUGGGUCGGUUUUACGACUGGCCCAGCAUUUUUAUAAACACCUUUUAAUUUUGACUGAAUUUUUUUGAAAAUAAAAAAUAACAACUUUUGACAACGGAUCUCUUGGCUCUCGCAACGAUGAAGAACGCAGCGAAAUGCGAUACGUAAUGUGAAUUGCAGAAUUCCGUGAAUCAUCGAAUCUUUGAACGCACAUUGCACUCUAUUUCGGUAGAGUAUGCCUGUUUGAGAAUCUAUAGUAUUUAUUUUGCCUUUAUGCUUUUUACAAAGCGUAAAGACCAAAGAUGUGCAAAUUGAUCCUGUAUCUUUUGCGAAAACUAUAGCUGAACUGAGCUAAGAGUGUUUGACUCUUUGCAAAGCAUCAGAAACGUAUUUGAAUGAGAUUUAUCUCUUAUAAUGCUGAUUAUGAUGCAGUAAAGAUUAGCUUAAAGUUACUUUGCAGUUUAUAACCAUUAAAGCCGUAAAAAAGCUUGAACCAUGGUCUCAAAUCAGGUAGGAAUACCCGCUGAACUUAAGCAUAUCAAUAAGCGGAGGA
rnacentral:rRNA from 1 species